UAAAAAUGGUAACUAGUAAUUGUUGAUCUCAUAAGAGUUUUCAAAUUAAACUGACUCAGAAAUAAGGCUUUGCAAUAUGCAAUCUAUAAAAUCUUGUCUGUCCAGCAAUUUUCUCUCAUUGUUGUCCUAACUACUAUUUUAAAUCAGCACAACAAGGAUUUGUAAAUUUUUGAGCAGAUUUUUGAGUUAAGUUGGGCCAACUCAGUAGAUUCCAGUUUAAACCGGUUUUAACGGCUCUCUGCUGAACCUGAGCUACGGACAUUUUCUGGAUGGACAACGACGUGGAGCCCACAACAAUUUUGCUCAAGAAGGUAUGAGGUGGAUUUCAUGCACUGUAAAUUUUGCAAAUUUGAAAGCUCCAGCCAAGAGACUCUUCUCAAGCAUUUGCGGCUUCAUCACGGACAAGGUCCUAUGAGCUUGAAUAUCACACCUGUGCAGACCUUCUUCUUCUGGAUCCAGAUGUGCUGACGGAUUACCACCCUCUAGCAGCAUACACAGUUGGUGGAAAGCUUAUGGUGACCCCAAGGAAGUUCCUUCUCCAUUAAAGCUAUUCAAAAUGACUUUGUUACUUCGGGUCGUUCUUUCUACCAGAGAAGCCCGGCGAAUCCAGCUUCCUGAAGUCCCAACAUCUGUGGGGCAAUUUAUUGAUAUACUGAAAGAGAGACUUGAACUUCAAGGAGAUUUCUCACUACAGUUUGAGGAUCCAGAGUUUGGAAAUGCACUCUGCAACUUAACAGAAAUGUCUGAAUUACCAGCUGAGCGUGCAGUCUUGCAUAUAAUGUGGAACAGUGAUUCAUGUCCACUUGACCAAUCCACUAGUUCAGUCUCCUCUCAGGACACACUCAGUGUUCACUCUGAAGAUUUUAGGCCUAGUUGGACUGAUUCUAUCCGGAGGAAUUUAAGGCAAGUCGCAGAGUGGCCAUCUCCAUUUCCUAUCCCUAAGUUUGCAUAUGAUGUGGAACUGAAAUUGUGUAAGGCCAAUGACACAUAUGAAAAGUCAAAGAAGGGCCUUGCAGUGACAAGAGACAUGAAAAUGGAGAUACUGGAUAAAAUUGCACAGGCAAUUUUUGAAAUCAAAAGCUACCCCGAGAAAGAUGAGCUUGAGUCAGUUGCCGCUGCGCUGGUUCAUAAGUAUCCAUGCUUGAAGGAGCCAAUUGGCAUCACAGGCUAUGAGGGAUGGAAAACAAGUAUCAAGUACAAACUUGGAAAC